CGCAAAACGGAAAAGGGAAUAACGACCGUGUUUUAUGGACGCAGUGGAUCACAGCUUACAAAGAUCGUCUUGAUCAGGAAUGCGACCAUCAUGAUGUUCAAGAGGUAAACAAAGAACGAGUCAGGGUAAUGAAAUCCAACAACCCAAGGUUUGUUCUUAGAAAUUACAUCGCCCAAAGAGCUAUAGAGGCCGCAGAAAAUGGAGACUUUUCUUUGGUUCAAACUAUUCUGAAACGCUUGAAAACACCUUACAGAGACGACGUGGAAUUUGACGAAGCUACGCUCUACGUAGCAGCGAGUACUAAUUCAACCUUGUCUUGUAAU